UAUAGAUUGCAUAGUUUUUAAAUUGCCAUUAUGCCAUGAAAUUUGAAUUUUCUCAAAAAUAUAUAAAUAUAAAUGCAUAUUGUUAUUUAAAAUUAGUUCAAAUUCGAUCUUUUAAAUAUCAACAUGAAAAUCUACUUUGCAUUGAUCGCUCUCUUAAUUUGUUGCAAUUUAACAACAGCUGCAGAGAAGAAAUGCGCACUAGAAUUGUGUACCCUUAGCAUCCCUCCCCAAUGUCAUUGUGCUCGAUAUGAAUGAUGUCUCCUCCUAGAAACGAAUAGGAUUAUACUACAUUCCUUGCAAAGAUUAACCAUCGCUCUAUUCACUUAAAAUAUGCACCACGAAUUAUAAUUCAUACAAUAAAACUUAUAUAAAAUAUG